AUUGGAUUUUUGUCUAGAAAUGGAUGUCUCUCAAGGUCACCACUGGAGAUAAGCGUGUUCCUUGGAAAGGGAUUUGAUAAAGAUGGGAUCGGGAAGGUAAUCGGGCGGAAGGAGAACCUGUUUGUGGUUAGGGCCAAACAGGGCUUUAAUUCCGAUGAUGGUGGAUGGGAUAAGAGUAACAGCUCAAGGGUCUUGGGAAAUCUUGUCUUGGCGGCUGGACUCACAUAUCUCACAGUCACUGGGCAGCUUGGUUGGCUUUUGGAUGCUCUUGUCUCAAUUUGGCUCCUAGCAUUUCUGCUUCCUAUUGUGGGUUUAGGAGCUUUCUUCUGGUUUGCUGGAAGAGAUAUAAUACAAAGCAAUUGUCCCAAUUGUGGAAAUAACUUCCAGAUAUUUAAAUCUUCAUUGAAGGAUGGUGUGCAGUUCUGCCCAUAUUGUACCCAACCUUUUUCAGUGCAAGGUGACAAAUUUGAGAGAGAAUCCACUAGGUUUUCUUCCAAUCGAUCUGCAGCACCUGAACAAGUAUUCAAUGGAUCCUUCUCUCGCUCUGAACAAGGGACCUCUACUGCAACAAUCGUCGAUAUCGAAGCUGAAGUUAAGGACAUUGAAUAAUUGUCUUUACAUGUUCCAUUCUGAAGGUAUAUUAGUACUGUUAGUUAUUCAUGUUGAAUAUGUCAGGGCACUCAAUCUGGAAUACAAAUUGUAUUGUUCCCUGGAAAUCUGUGCUGGGCAGGGCAUUGGACUCAAUUAGUGGAACUAGAAUUCUUUAGUGGAAUUGGGAUUUUGAAGAGCUCCAGCAAGAGGAAGCCUCCCAGGGAUUAUAGAUGCCUCCAUGAAUAGUCGAUCUUACAGCCAUGCUUUGGCUACAUUCUGUAAAUAGCUUGAUAUUGAAGCUCAGAUGUUACUAUAUUGGUGCAGGGUGCUGGACAAUUGAAAUUUGCUCUUUCAUCUCUCUACAUGUUUUACUUUUUUCCACUUAGGAAUUCAAAUCUGAAGUUUUGUUUGUUUUU